GACGAACCGAGCGAACGUUGUUCGGAAUCACUGGGCUUAAAGGGCGCGUAGGCGGGCUCUCAAGUCCGGGGUGAAAUCCCACAGCUCAACUGUGGAACUGCCUCGGAUACUGGGGGCCUCGAGGGUGGUAGGGGUAUGCGGAACUAUCGGUGGAGCGGUGAAAUGCGUUGAUAUCGAUAGGAACUCCGGUGGCGAAGGCGGCAUACUGGACCACAUCUGACGCUGAGACACGAAAGCCAGGGGAGCGAACGGG
rnacentral:rRNA from 1 species